AACACGUGGGAACGUACCAUAGAGUGGGGGAUAACAGUUGGAAACGAUUGCUAAUACCGCAUAAUCCCUGAGGGGGAAAGAUUAUCGCUCAAUGCACGGCCCGCGGAAGAUUAGGUAGUUGGUGGGGUAAAGGCCUACCAAGCCUACGAUCUAUAGCUGGUCUGAGAGGACGAUCAGCCACAUUGGGACUGAGACACGGCCCAGACUCCUACGGGAGGCAGCAGUGAGGAAUAUUGGGCAAUGGGGGCAACCCUGACCCAGCCAUGCCGCGUGAGUGAGAAGGUUUUCGAAUUGUAAAGCUCUUUCAGGUGGGAAGAUGAUGACGGUACCACCAGAAGAAGCCCCGGCAAACUUCGUGCCAGCAGCCGCGGUAAUACGAAGGGGGCGAGCGUUGUUCGGAAUUACUGGGCGUAAAGGGUGUGUAGGCGGUUUAAUAAGAUAGUGGUGAAAUGCCAGGGCUCAACCUUGGAACUGCCAUUAUAACUAUUAGGCUAGAAUGAUGUAGAGGAUAGCGGAAUACCCAGUGUAGAGGUGAAAUUCGUAGAUAUUGGGUAGAACACCAGAGGCGAAGGCGGCUAUCUGGGCAUACAUUGACGCUGAGGCACGAAAGCAUGGGGAUCAAACAGGAUUAGAUACCCUGGUAGUCCAUGCUGUAAACGAUGAAUGCUAGUUGUUGGAUUUGAUUCAGUGACGCAGUUAACACAAUAAGCAUUCCGCCUGGGGAGUACGGUCGCAAGAUUAAAACUUAAAGGAAUUGACGG
rnacentral:rRNA from 1 species